rnacentral:misc_RNA from 1 species
GUAUUUUGAAUUGUUUAUUCAUAAUAUUUUUCAGACAAAGUUGUUAAAAAUAAGAGUUGAUGUUUACAUCCUGUAGCGCAAAUGACAAGCAUUCGCGUUACAAGACAACAUUGCACACAAGGUGGAUAUGGAUUGAAAAAGUGCCAUAAAACACUUAUUGUGAAUGAUCCUUCCGCAGGUUCACCUACGGAAA